rnacentral:rRNA from 1 species
CGCUGGCGGCGUGCCUAACACAUGCAAGUCGAACGGGUGAUUCCUUCGGGGAUCACUUAGUGGCGAACGGGUGAGUAACGCGUGAGAAACCUGCCUUUCAGUGGGGGACAACAGUUGGAAACGACUGCUAAUACCGCAUAACAUACACGGACCGCAUGAUCUGUGUAUCAAAGCUUUAUGUGCUGAAAGAUGGUCUCGCGUCUGAUUAGCUAGUUGGUGAGGUAACGGCUCACCAAGGCGACGAUCAGUAGCCGGUCUGAGAGGAUGAACGGCCACAUUGGGACUGAGAUACGGCCCAGACUCCUACGGGAGGCAGCAGUGGGGAAUAUUGGGCAAUGGGGGAAACCCUGACCCAGCAACGCCGCGUGAAGGAAGAAGGCCUUCGAGUUGUAAACUUCUUUUAGCAGGGACGAAGAACGUGACGGUACCUGCAGAAAAAGCAACGGCUAACUACGUG